CACAUUGUGAGUCUUAUUCGUGGGGAUGUUUUACCGUGAAAUUUCUCGGGGAGCCGUCUUGAUUUUUGAGAAUUUUAACCCUCUGGUCGCUUUCUGUCAUGCAGAGGAAGUAACUCUUGAUGUUGGCUUGACACUGUGGGGAGAACAAGCGUGAAAUGCACUUUCCUCUCGUCUCCAUUGCGUGCUCAGUGGCGUCCUUCUUACAGCCUUGCUGGUCCUCAGGGCCUUCAGGUCCUCCUGCGCUCUGAACCUGUCGGCUAACUCGCGGUGCUUCUCCCUCCAGGCCAGGCACUCGGCCGUCCUGUCCCGCCUCUCCUCCUCGGCCAGGCGCCGCUCGGCCUCGGCCUCCCGCCGAGCCCGCUGGGCCUGCUCGCCCUGGUGCACCGCCGCCGCCUCCCUGCGCCUCGAAUCCACCUCGCUGCAAAGACAAGACUGGAGCUCACGUCCCCGAAAUAAUAAAUAGCUAAAACACCACCUCACCAUAGGACGCCUUCUUUCAUUGGGCCUUUCAACCUCUAUUUAAGACCUUCAGCAAAAAGUGGUCUACCGCCGGUACAAAAACAAACCAUUAGCCGGUAAAUGAAAGCAGCAAGUGAUCAAAGAAUGAAACGGCCCCAGUGUUUCAAUAAAUCCAUAUUAACCGAGCCCAUCUGGAAUGAGGAAUCUUCCCCCUGUUCGACCCUUCAAAGAAUCGCUCAGGCUCGAGGCGCCGCGGAGAGAGAGAGAGGUCCACACGGGGGGACAGAAGUGCGUUUGCUUUCUCUACUUUGAAGGCAGUGAUUGACGUCUUGGAAUCAAAGAGCCCUUCUCCUCUCCCGACAUUUAUUAUCAUUCAUUCCUUAUUAUUCCUCCUUCUCGUGUCGCUUCCCUCCUCUCUGCUCUCCUCUCGGCUCCAGUCAAGUUGUGAACACCUAUUGUGAAAGGCCGACCUCCAUCGUUGGAGCGGUCAUGUUUUGGGUUUUUCUUUUUGGCAGCGCCAACUGCUGUGAUGCUCCGGGUUUGGCGGCGAGCGCUGUUUAGGUUAAACGUGGAGCCGUUCAUCACAUUUGUUGUUCUUCUACAGUUACAUUUUAUGAUUUCCCGACUUUACAGUUAAUGUGUGAUGCAGCGCUGGCUGGUCCAGAAGAUUCUCACAACUCAAAUAAGAAAUCAUCGUCUUCUGACUAAAGGAUCUCCACAUUGCAUAGUUUGCCGUCAUGUGUGAAUUCAUCGCUUCUUGUAGGCGGAGUACGCUGCCACUUUAAUCCGAUUUCAUGUUUUAAUUUGACUUUUAGGUGACAUUGUGAACCUCCUCUGGCCCCCUCCAUGUUGUUCCAGCUCCCCCUCGUAUCUAAAGUGGUAUUUAUGCCUAUUUGCUUUACAGUCUAGUAGCUGUGAACGGGUCACAUGAACCCGUUUCCUCCUGUAGAGUCUUGAGAGGCCUUCUGAAUCAAGCAGACGCACCUCUGUUGGAUCUGGACCUUGUCCUCCGUGAUCUGUCUCAGCUUCAGUCGGAGGUCGUCUCGGUCCCCCUCCAGGCUCCUGUUCUCCUGCAGAAGGGCCCGUUUGUCCCCCGACUCGCGGUCCAGCUUCAGCUUGGUUUCAAAGCAGCUCUGCUCCGCUUUAGCGAGGGAAACCUGCAAAUCGGUGUGCUGUGAGGCGGGGGGGGGGGGAGGGGUGGAGGGGGGAGGGGGUGAUGGUCUGCACUCAUCGUGAUGUCUCGAAUGGACUCAAUGGUGACAAACAGGUGGCAAACAGUCACCGUGGCCACUUCAAAAUAAGCCUCACGCCUCCACCUCUUUCUUAAGCCGCUGCAGCUCCUCGGCCAGGCGGCUCCGGUCGGCCUCCGCGGCCCCCUGGUCCCGCUGGCUCCCCAGGGCCCGAGCUUCGGCCAGGGCCCUGCUCCUCUCCGCCUCGCCUCGGGACUCCUCCGCCUCCUCGGCGGCCCGCGAGCACAACGCCGCCCUCUGCUGG
ensembl:lncRNA